UUUUUUUUACUCUUUGUAUUGAGUUUUUGCUUGUUCUGCAUGCUUUUAUCCUAUAUUGUUAUUUUUUUAUUCUUUGUUUUAACAUGUAUUUCGUAUUGACCUUUUAUUUCAUGGUAGGCAUUUUUUAUUUCAGCAUUUGAAUCUGACACGAUGUAUUUUUUAUGUUUUAUGUUAUUGUCAUUGAUAUGUUUUAAUUACCAUGUGUAUGUACAGCGCCUUAGAGUAAUUUUUAUUUUUUAUAUAGGGCGCUUUAUAAAUUUUCAUUAUUAUUAUUAUU
rnacentral:lncRNA from 1 species